AUGAUAGAGGCGCGGGCUUUAUCAGUACCAGGCGGGCAAGGGAACAGGACAGCCGUCCGCAGGGAAAGGAAAGACCGCCGAAGAGAAUGUCCCCGGUCCGGGGGAUUUUUUCUGGGGCACGGCAGAAUAUGUCGUGCACUGUCACAAGAAUGUGGAGCGCUAUCUGG
rnacentral:ncRNA from 1 species